CCCGCCGUAGUUCAACGGAUAGAACGGGCGCCUCCUAAGCGCCAGAUACAGGUUCGAUUCCUGUCGGGGGGGCCA
rnacentral:tRNA from 1 species